AGCCCCUGCCGGAGCCCCCCGGAGACCCCAGAGCGCAGCGGGACCCCCCCCCACGGGCCGGAGGUGGAGAGCUCAGAUUCGCAGAGGGAGGAACCAGCGACCCCCCCCAGGUGUGACGGGGGGGGGACCCCAAAUCCCACCUGAACCCCCCCAGGUGGGACCGGGACCCCAAAAAUCCCAAAUCUCACCUGGGGGACCCAAAAUUCCCUUGGGGGGGGCCCAAAAUCCCAAAUCUCACCUGGGGGGACCCCAAAAAAUUCCAAAAUUUCCUUUGGGGGGCCCCAA